AUUGAACGCUGGCGGCAGGCCUAACACAUGCAAGUCGAACGGUAACAGGAAACAGCUUGCUGUUUCGCUGACGAGUGGCGGACGGGUGAGUAAUGUCUGGGAAACUGCCUGAUGGAGGGGGAUAACUACUGGAAACGGUAGCUAAUACCGCAUAACGUCGCAAGACCAAAGAGGGGGACCUUCGGGCCUCGUGCCAUCGGGUGUGCCCAGAUGGGAUUAGCUAGUAGGUGGGGUAACGGCUCACCUAGGCGACGAUCCCUAGCUGGUCUGAGAGGAUGACCAGCCACACUGGAACUGAGACACGGUCCAGACUCCUACGGGAGGCAGCAGUGGGGAAUAUUGCACAAUGGGCGCAAGCCUGAUGCAGCCAUGCCGCGUGUAUGAAGAAGGCCUUCGGGUUGUAAAGUACUUUCAGCGGGGAGGAAGGGAGUAAAGUUAAUACCUUUGCUCAUUGACGUUACCCGCAGAAGAAGCACCGGCUAACUCCGUGCCAGCCGCCGCCGUAA
rnacentral:rRNA from 1 species